ACUAAAGAUUAAGGGACAGAUGUAGUAAAGCCCCUUGAAUGUUUUGUGUGCAGCUCAUCUCUCAAAGUAAAAGACUUUCCUAAAAUUUACCCAAAAACAAACUUGCCUUGAUUCGACCUUCUUUUAUCCCGAUUGAACUGAUCGUUAAUCGCCAUCAAAAACUUCAAUUUAUUGAAUUCCUCUUGAACCCGUUUCAAUCCAAUCAUCUAAAUCCCAACCCACACGUCCAAAUCACACCUUGCUUUUGAUUCAUUAGCUCCCAUUCGUUACACUUGCUUUGAUUAAUUGUUGCCCCAUUUUCGAUUUCUUUGAAAACCCAUUUCAAAUUGACGAUAUAAUAACCAGCCCCUCGAUCAAAAUCUCAACUUGAUGUGUUUAGCAAUGGAGGGUUUGCAAGAUGUGGCCCCAAAAAUUUUUAUUAGGACUCAUGCAUUGUCGAUGAUCUUGCUUCUGAGGCACUUCAAGCGCAGAUACUUGGUCCGGUUCUUGAUGCAGCUCUUUGCAUGUGAAGUGUUCGUUAUGAUGCCAAAGAUUUCAAACAGAUGGAUCCAAAUAAAUGUGAGUUUGCAAACGAGGGACUCCUAAUGAUAAGAAGCAUCUUCUGAGGACUACAAAGAGAAGGAAGCCGCCAGAAAAUCAACCUCACAAGCUUUAAUCCCUCAACCCAAGCCUAGAGAUCAGAAGAUAUGCAAUGGAUUGAGAGAUUGAAAGGCUAAAGCGAGACAGGGACAUACUGAUGAUAGAGGUUGUAAUGCUAAGGCAGGAGCAGCGGAACACAAGAGCACAUCGCCAAGCUAUGGAAGCAUUGAUAGAAGGGACUGAGCAAUACAAGACCCAAACUUCUUUUAGCAGUUAGCUCAGAAGAAGCAGCACAGAAGGUCAUUACAAAGAAAAGAAAAGGAUGAGUAGCUUUCAGGCAUAAUGAUGUGAAGUCAUCAUUUCAUCUGAGUCCAACGCAGGUUGUCUGAAUGCAGGGAAUUAUGAAAAACAAGGAAAGAAAAAAAGCGGCUGAAGGAGAAGUGCAGAGUUGAGCAAUCAUUUUUGGGAAGAGCUUCUGAAUGAAGAAAUAGGAGAGAGGCGAUGAUAAUGUAAGAUCUUGGCUGAGAAACUAAGAGGCAUUAGCUCUAUACACUGUUGUGCUCCUCACUCUCGUCUCAUGUAAUUUUGGGUUAAUUGCUGAUGGACCCCCCUAAGUACAUCUAGUUUUAUUUUAGCGGUAGACCUCCCCGAGUGAAAUAUUUUUUACUCUUUUACCCUCAGGGGAAAAGUUUUUUUGACUAGUAAGCCCCCUGAGGGUUGAGCCAAAAACAUUCAUAAAUUCAGAACAACCAUACUAUAAGGGAUCUGUCCGCAAGUAGUUCUA